ACUUGAUCUCAAAUCAGAUAAGAGUACCCGCUGAACUUAAGCAUAUCAAUAAGCGGAGGAAAAGAAACUAACUAGGAUUCCCUCAGUAACGGCGAGUGAAGCGGGAAGAGCUCAAAUUUGAAAUCUUCAAGGUUUUACCUUGACGAAUUGUAGUUUAAAGAAGUGUUUUCUGUUGGAGUUUUGGUAAAAGUUCUUUGGAAAAGGACAUCAUAGAGGGUGAGAAUCCCGUAUUUGACCAUUAUCUCCAGCUUUGUGAUACACUUUCAAAGAGUCGGAUUGUUUGGGAAUGCAGUCCAAAAUGGGUGGUAAAUUUCAUCUAAAGCUAAAUACUGGCGAGAGACCGAUAGCGAACAAGUACCGCGAGGGAAAGAUGAAAAGAACUUUGAAAAGAGAGUUAAACAGUACGUGAAAUUGUCAAAAGGGAAGCGUUUGACACCAGUGUUGUUUUCUCGAAAAUCAAUUAAAAAAGGCCGGAUUUUGUGUUGUAUUGACUUUAUCAGCUUUCUGCACUUUUUUCUUGUCUUUUUUAAUGCACUUUUCGUUUAACAAGUCAACAUCAAUUUCUUUUGUUGUAAAAGGGUCAUUGGAAGGUGGCUUUCUUUUCGGAGAAAGUGUUUAUAGCCUUUGGCCUCUGCAAUCGGAGAGAUUGAGGUCUGCAGCGUAGAUCCUUCGGGGUUAGAUACAUUUGUGCUAAGUUAUAGCCUUUCAUAGACAACUUGUUGACUAUGAUCAGUCAUGUAGCUUACUCGCUUAUGCUAUUUUACCUACGCUUAGGAUGUUGACAAAAUGGUUUUAAACGACCCGUCUUGAAACACGGACC
rnacentral:rRNA from 1 species